rnacentral:tRNA from 1 species
AGUUUAAUAGUUUAUAAAAACCUUAAAUUGCAAAUUUAAAAUAUUAAAAUUUUUAAUUAAACUU